ensembl:lncRNA
AAAAAGUAUUUCCACUUUUCUCCAAUUUGGCAAGGAACGUCCACCAGGAACGUCCAUCAGGAACGCCCACCAGGAACGCCCACCAGGAACGCCUACCAGGAACGCCCUAGAGACAGUCUGCAGUCACACAUUUUCUCUUUUCGCGCGCUAAUCUCAUCCGUUACUAAUCCAAACUAGUAACCUCGACGUGGCCCGCUAGCUAGAUGUAAAUAUUGACUAAUUGGAAAUGUAUCACACAUGUUAUGGAGACAAGUUGCUUCUCUGAUAUCGACAAUGACUCGGCGUCAAUUGUUGGUGAUUCUGAAGGAGAAGAAGAAACAAAUCUUUACCUGGACAGAUUGAUGCUUGCAGAUUUGCUAGACUCGCCCUACUCAUAUAAUUUGUCCACACCACACACCAUCAAUGGCUGUACAGACGGGUUUUCUCCUCAGAUAGCGAUGUUGACUUGUAGACGUUUGGAUGGCUUGGACCAAGUGCGUCUCACACCUGAAAAGAUCCAAUCCCCAUUUUUGUCAAGGAGUUCUGGGAAUCCAGAUGACGAGAAGGAAUGGACGGUGUUAUCGCUCAAGGACAUGAUGGAGGUGUGUGUGUGUGUGGUUGGUGUGUGUGUGUGUGUGGUGUGUGUGGUGGUGUGUGUGUGUGUGUGUGUGUGUGUGUGUGUGUGUGUGUGAAAGAGAGGGAGUGUUCAAGGCUGCAGCGCUAGCAGGCAUUUGCACAGAUUACACUCUGAAUGUGCGCCUGCCCUGUCUAGUCCUACUGAAGACUAUUCAUUUAUGGUAGUUUAUCACCAGUUGUAGAAUGAAGCAACUGCUUUUGGUGGCACUUACAGUAUCAAUCAAUCAAUCAAUCAAUCAAAUGUAUUUAUAAAGCCCUUCUUACACCAGCUGAUGUCACAAAGUGCUGUACAGAAACCCAGCCUAAAACCCCAAACAGCAAUCAAUGCAGGUGUAGAAGCACCAGUCAAAAGUUUGGACACACUUACUCAUUCAAGGGUUUUUCUUUAGUUUUACUAUUUUCUACAUUGUAGCAUAAUAGUGAAGACAUCAAACUAUGAAAUAACACAUAUGGAAUCAUGUAGUAACCAGAAAAGUGUUAAACAAAUCAAAAUUAUAUGUUAUAUUUGAGUUUCUUCAAAGUAGCCACCUUUUGCCUUGAUGACAGCUUUGCACACCUUGAAAAACCCUGGAAUGAGUAGGUGUGUCCAAAACGUUUGACUGGUAAUGUAACCCAAUGUCUGUAUCUCAAAUUUGGCCUUAUUCCCUAUGUAGUACACUCACUUUAACAAAGGGCCUAUAGGGCUCAGUGUGCACUAUAUAGGAAAUAGGAAUCCAUUUGGGAUGCAAGCCAAUGCAACUUGUUGGGUAGAAGCUCCUGUACACAUGCAAGCCAAGGAACAAUAUAGCUACUAUAACUACUAUAACUAUUAUCACUCCUAAUGUCUCUAGGAUAUUAUGUUGUUCAAUAUUUAUUUGGGAUUAUCAUUCUCUGAUAGCAUAACGGGUAAAUAAUAUAAUUUAUCUUCACUUAACAUUGCUCAUCUGACACUUUCCAGAGACUCAAUCAAAAUGGUGUAUUUGCUUCCUCCUGGUGGUGCUAUUUGGUAAAUCAGUAUGUGCAAACUACACUGAACAAAAAUAUAAACGCUACAAAGUGUUGGUACUAUGCUUCAUAAGCUGAAAUAAAAUAUUCCCGAAAUGUUCUAUACACACGAAAAGGUUAUUUAUUAAAAAAAAUAAAAAACUCCUUUGCCAAGGUAAAUCCAUCUACCUGACAGAUGUGGCUUAUCAAGAAGCUGAUUAAACAGCAUGAUCAUUACACAGGUGUACCUUGAACUGUGGAAAAUAAAAGGCCAUUCGAAAAUGUGUCAUUUUGUCACGGAACACAAUGCCACAGAUGUCUCAAGUUGUGAGGGAAUGUGCAAUUGGCAUGCUGACUGCAGGAAUGUCCACUAGAGCUGUUGCCAGAUAAUUGAAAGUUCAUUUAUCUACCGUAAGCCGCCUUCAACGUUGUUUUAGAGAAUUUGGCAGUGCGUCCAACCGGCCUCACAACCGCAGACCACGUGUAUGGCAUCGUGUGGGCGAGCGGUUUGCUGAUGUCAACGUGAACACAGUGC